rnacentral:rRNA from 1 species
GUACGGGAGGCAGCAGUGGGGAAUUUUGGACAAUGGGCGAAAGCCUGAUCCAGCAAUGCCGCGUGAGUGAAGAAGGCCUUCGGGUUGUAAAGCUCUUUUGUCAGGGAAGAAACGGUGGGUUCUAAUACAGCCUGCUAAUGACGGUACCUGAAGAAUAAGCACCGGCUAACUACGUGCCAGCAGCCGCGGUAAUACGUAGGGUGCAAGCGUUAAUCGGAAUUACUGGGCGUAAAGCGUGCGCAGGCGGUUUUGUAAGUCUGUCGUGAAAUCCCCGGGCUCAACCUGGGAAUGGCGAUGGAGACUGCAAGGCUAGAGUUUGGCAGAGGGGGGUAGAAUUCCACGUGUAGCAGUGAAAUGCGUAGAUAUGUGGAGGAACACCGAUGGCGAAGGCAGCCCCCUGGGUCAAGACUGACGCUCAUGCACGAAAGCGUGGGGAGCAAACAGGAUUAGAUACCCCGGU